UACGUAGGGUGCAAGCGUUAAUCGGAAUUACUGGGCGUAAAGCGUGCGUAGGCGGCUAUGUAAGACAGAUGUGAAAUCCCCUGGGCUUAACCUGGGAACUGCAUUUGUGACUGCAUUGCUAGAGUGUGGUAGAGGGAGAUGGAAUUCCGCAUGUAGCAGUGAAAUGCGUAGAUAUGCGGAGGAACACCAAUGGCGAAGGCAAUCUCCUGGACCUGCACUGACGCUCAUGCACGAAAGCGUGGGGAGCAAACAGG
rnacentral:rRNA from 1 species